UCAAGAAACUUCCACAAUGGGCGAAAGCCUGAUGGAGCGACGUCGCGUGAUGGACGAAGUGCUUCGGCACGUAAACAUCUUUUAUGUGGGAUGAAAUUAUUGACAGUACCACAUGAAUAAGGGGCUCCUAACUCUGUGCCAGCAGGAGCGGUAAUACAGAGGCCCCAAGCGUUAUCCGGAAUCACUGGGCGUAAAGGGUGUCGAGGCGGUUGUAUUAGUCGUUCGUAAAAUCUACGAGCUUAACUUGUAGGCGGCGAACGAAACGGUACGACUUGAGGUUUGGAGAGGUGCGUGGAACUCACGGUGUAGGGGUGAAAUCCGUUGAUAUCGUGGGGAACACCAAAGGCGAAGGCAGCGCACUGGCCAAAAUCUGACGCUCACACACGAAAGCUAGGGUAGCGAAGAGGAUUAGAUACCCCGGUAGUCCCUGAGCGGGCUGGCAAGGCGCAU
rnacentral:rRNA from 1 species